rnacentral:rRNA from 1 species
AUUGAACGCUGGCGGCAGGCCUAACACAUGCAAGUCGAACGGUAACAGGAAGAAGCUUGCUUCUUUGCUGACGAGUGACGGACGGGUGAGUAAUGUCUGGGAAACUGCCUGAUGGAGGGGGAUAACUACUGGAAACGGUAGCUAAUACCGCAUAACGUCGCAAGACCAAAAAGGGGGACCUCCGGGCCUCUUGCCAUCGGAUGUGCCCAGAUGGGAUUAGCUAGUAGGUGGGGUAACGGCUCACCUAGGCGACGAUCCCUAGCUGGUCUGAGAGGAUGACCAGCCACACUGGACCUGAGACACGGUCCAGACUCCUACGGGAGGCAGCAGUGGGGAAUAUUGCACAAUGGGCGCAAGCCUGAUGCAGCCAUGCCGCGUGUAUGAAGAAGGCCUUCGGGUUGUAAAGUACUUUCAGCGGGGAGGAAGGGAGUAAAGUUAAUACCUUUGCUCAUUGACGCUACCCGCAGAAGAAACACCGGCUAACUCCGU